CCUACGGGAGACAGCAGUGAGGAAUAUUGGUCAAUGGACGAGAGCCUGAACCAGCCAAGUAGCGUGAAGGAUGACUGCCCUAUGGGUUGUAAACUUCUUUUAUAUGGGAAUAAAAUGUUCCACGUGUGGGAUUUUGUAUGUACCAUAUGAAUAAGGAUCGGCUAACUCCGUGCCAGCAGCCGCGGUAAUACGGAGGAUCCGAGCGUUAUCCGGAUUUAUUGGGUUUAAAGGGAGCGUAGGUGGAUUGUUAAGUCAGUUGUGAAAGUUUGCGGCUCAACCGUAUAAUUGCAGUUGAAACUGGCAGUCUUGAGUACAGUAGAGGUGGGCGGAAUUCGUGGUGUAGCGGUGAAAUGCUUAGAUAUCACGAAGAACUCCGAUUGCGAAGGCAGCUCACUGGACUGCAACUGACACUGAGGCUCGAAAGUGUGGGUAUCAAACAGGAUUAGAUACCCCAGUAGUC
rnacentral:rRNA from 1 species